ensembl:lncRNA
AAUUAGGGUGAAGAGGAGGCCAGUGGACACGCGGUGUGAUUAAAUUUAGAUCUGGAGGGAGAUCUUGACCCCGCGUGCCCCUCAUCUAAGUGACAUUUAGCCAGGAUAACCACACUGCAGCUGAGGCUUAUUAACCUUUUGUGGGCCUGAACACCACUGACUGGCUUAAUUGGCAGAUGGAUUAUUAAAUAGAGCAACUUCAAGAUGAUUGAACAUCUCAUAUCUACAACGCACAGGCUGUCUCCGAUGCUCUAUAUGGAAAAUCAAACCCCUGACACUGAAAAAAAAAAAAAGAAAGAGCAGGCGUUAAAAAUACAAGAGAGGACUGGUGUGCAUUUCAUCUUCUGUGUCUUGUUUCAAAAUACCAAACGGAAAGAUGCGUCGCAUCAUAUUUGAUGAUACCAGAUAUUGCAAGCCAGUUUGAAUGCGCAGAAGUAUGACUGUCAUUUGUGAAGAAGAAAAGGUGUUUCAAGCUUUUGUCUUUGAGCUCUACUGAAAAAGGGUUCUGGAUAUUUGGUUAUUUGUUUAGAGGUAUUUGUGUGUUAAAAGGGAUAUAAAUGUUAGUUUUUUGUUAAGACAACCCAUCUUGCAUCUGAAAAUAAAAAAAAAAUAUACGUGUGUGUUAUAUAUAUAUAUAUAUAUAUAUAUAUAUAUAUAUAUAUAUAUAUAUAUAUAUAUA